UGAAUGAUGAUACACUACCGAUAAGUCUGCAAUGUUAUGAUGAUUCGGAUUUUACAAGACACGCCAGUUUUGCUUCUGA